GCAGUGGGGAAUCUUCCGCAAUGGACGAAAGUCUGACGGAGCAACGCCGCGUGAGUGAUGACGGCCUUCGGGUUGUAAAGCUCUGUUAAUCGGGACGAAAGGCCUUCUUGCGAAUAGUUAGAAGGAUUGACGGUACCGGAAUAGAAAGCCACGGCUAACUACGUGCCAGCAGCCGCGGUAAUACGUAGGUGGCAAGCGUUGUCCGGAUUUAUUGGGCGUAAAGCGCGCGCAGGCGGAUUGGUCAGUCUGUCUUAAAAGUUCGGGGCUUAACCCCGUGAUGGGAUGGAAACUGCCAAUCUAGAGUAUCGGAGAGGAAAGUGGAAUUCCUAGUGUAGCGGUGAAAUGCGUAGAUAUUAGGAAGAACACCAGUGGCGAAGGCGACUUUCUGGACGAAAACUGACGCUGAGGCGCGAAAGCCAGGGGAGCGAACGGGAUUAGA
rnacentral:rRNA from 1 species